CAGCACCUCAAGUGGUCAGGAUGAUUAUUGGGCCUAAAGCAUCCGUAGCCGGCGCUGUAAGUUUUCGGUUAAAUCUGUAUGCUCAACAUACAGGCUGCCGGGAAUACUGCAGAGCUAGGGAGUGGGAGAGGUAGACGGUACUCGGUAGGAAGGGGUAAAAUCCUUUGAUCUAUUGUUGACCACCUGUGGCGAAGGCGGUCUACCAGAACACGUCCGACGGUGAGGGAUGAAAGCUGGGGGAGCAAACCGGAUUAGAUACCCGAGUAGUCC
rnacentral:rRNA from 1 species